GAUGUACGCUAGCGGCAGGCUUAAUACAUGCAAGUCGUGGGGCAGCAUGAGUAGCAAUACUUGAUGGCGACCGGCAAACGGGUGCGGAACACGUACACAACCUUCCGAUAAGUGGGGAAUAGCCCAGAGAAAUUUGGAUUAAUACCCCGUAACAUAUAGAGUAGGCAUCUUCUUUAUAUUAUAGCUUCGGCGCUUAUUGAUGGGUGUGCGUCUGAUUAGGUAGUUGGCGGGGUAACGGCCCACCAAGCCUACGAUCAGUAGCUGAUGUGAGAGCAUGACCAGCCACCCGGGCACUGAGAAACGGGCCCGACUCCUACGGGAGGCAGCAGUAAGGAAUAUUGGACAAUGGGCGAAAGCCUGAUCCAGCCAUGCCGCGUGAAGGAUUAAGGUCCUCUGGAUUGUAAACUUCUUUUAUUUGGGACGAAAAAAGGGAAUUCUUUCCCACUUGACGGUACCAAGUGAAUAAGCACCGGCUAACUCCGUGCCAGCCGCCGCCGUAA
rnacentral:rRNA from 1 species